GACGAACGCUGGCGGCGUGCUUAACACAUGCAAGUCGAACGGAAAGGCCCUGCUUUUGUGGGGUGCUCGAGUGGCGAACGGGUGAGUAACACGUGAGUAACCUGCCCUUGACUUUGGGAUAACUUCAGGAAACUGGGGCUAUACCGGAUAGGAGCUCCUGCUGCAUGGUGGGGGUUGGAAAGUUUCGGCGGUUGGGGAUGGACUCGCGGCUUAUCAGCUUGUUGGUGGGGUAGUGGCUGACCAAGGCUUUGACGGGUAGCCGGCCUGAGAGGGUGACCGGCCACAUUGGGACUGAGAUACGGCCCAGACUCCUACGGGAGGCAGCAGUGGGGAAUAUUGCACAAUGGGCGGAAGCCUGAUGCAGCAACGCCGCGUGCGGGAUGACGGCCUUCGGGUUGUAAACCGCUUUCGCCUGUGACGAAGCGUGAGUGACGGUAAUGGGUAAAGAAGCACCGGCUAACUACGUG
rnacentral:rRNA from 1 species